UCUAGUUGUGGCUUGUGGGUGCUGUUGCCCCAUGGCAUGGCAUGUGGGAUCCUAGUUUACCGAUCAGGGAUUGAACUUGUGUCCCCUGCUUUGGAAGGCAGAUUCUCACCCACUGGACCACCAGAAGUCCCUGAUUUGCAUUUUGUAAUGACUGAUGCCUUUGAGCAUCUUUGCUGUGCUUGUGGGUCAUGUGAAGGGAUCUUUAGGAAGGUGUGGGCAGGUGCAGGGAAGCUCCAGGGAUAGUGUGGUGCCCAGGUCAUGUGGCUCUGGGGCUCCUGUGUCAUGCCCAGUUUGAGGGGUGGGGAGGGAACAGAUGCUGGGACCUGGAGACAGGGAGGGCAUGAGGAAGGUUUCUGACCAGAGCUCAGACUUGGGUCGAAGGUGGCAGCCAGUUCACAGUGGCCCCCAGAGAGGGAGCAGUGGUGGGUCCAGAGAGGGGCAGAAGGGGGAGUGGAUUCCUCACUCUCCCUUCCCUCCUGUCUCCUGCUGGGGGCUCCCCGUUGGCCAAAACCAUCCUGCAGCAGAGGGAAGGGGGCCUUGCAUUAUUAGUCCCUAAAGGCCAGUCUGGGACUUGGGAAAGGGGAUGGUGGAGCAUGAGGGACAUGUAGCACAGAAUUAGUGUCUGUUCCAGGAGGCCCUGCUCCGUUUUCCUGUAGGUCUUCAGAUCCGUCCUUCGUCUUGCACUGACUUCUUGAGGCUGGUAAUGAGAUGAGCUGCCUCCACCUUGAACAUCUUUAUUAUAACAUCCAGAAGAAGGGAGUAAACACCAUUUCCAAAACCUCUUCUAGGAGAUAGAGAAAGAGCCUCCGACUCUAGGUCUCCUUGAUCCAAGUUGGGUCAUGUGCCCUUUGGAAUACUCACUGGCAAAGUACUGGAUUUUAGGACAAAAGACAGAAUUCUUAAAAUCCACCCACUGGGCUUCCCUGGUGGCUCAGUGGUAAAGAAACCACCUGCCAAUGCCAGAGACACGCGUUCCAUCCCUGGUCCAGGAACAUCCCACCUGCCCUGGAGCAACUAAGCUCAGGUACCACAACUGCUGAGCCUGUGCUCUAGAGCCUGGGAGCUGCAACUGUUGAGCCCACCUGCUGCAACUGCUGAAGCCCAUGCGUGUCCUCGAGCCUGCGCUCAGCAAGAAGAGAGGGCACCGCGAUGAGGAGCCCGCACGCUGCAACUAGGGACCUGCUCCCACUCGUUGCAACUAGCGGAAAAACUCAAGCAGCAAUGAGGACCUAUCACAGCCAAUAAGUAAAUGAAAGUAUUAAAGCAAAAAGCCAAACCACCCCCGCCCACCACCUUUUGUAUGAUUCUGUGUACAUGAAAUCGCCAGAAUAGGCAAAUCUAUAGAAACAGAAAGUUACGCUGUUCUUUUGCCAGGAGUGGGUGGAGGUGGAAUUGGAGGGGAGUAACUGCUGAUGAGUAUGAGGUUUCUUUUGGGGGCAACAGAAAUAUUCUAAAAUCGACUAGGGUCAUGGUCCCACAACUCUGUGAGUUAUGUUUCAGACCGUGGAAGAGUGUCCUUUAAAUCGCUAUAUUGUAUGGUAUGUGAAUUAUAUCUCAUCAAAGCUAUUACAGAAGACAAAAGACACAAAAGCUUGGUCGACUGCUGUUCUUCUUGUUUUAUUUAAAGCUGAGGUUGAUUGCUGUUUUAUUCCUUAAUAAUAAAAAUUAUUUGUGGCUU